GUAGUUCGUCUGAGGCUCCACACGGCUGCUAGUGUGCAGCAGAGCUGGGAUUCCCGCUGUGCCCAUAUCACACGCAGGACCAUGCUCUUAAGCAGGUAAGAAGGUGGCUAUCUGCAAGCCAGGAAGAGAGGCCUCACUAGCAACUGAAAAUGCUGUCUCCCUGACCUUGGACUUCUCAGCCUCCAGACCUGUGAGAAAUAAAUGUCUGUUAUUUAAGGCAAAAAAGAGAAAUCAGUAACUGGAAAAAGACUAAGAGGGUUGGAAAUGGAGCACGAGAUGCACUUUAUGUGCAGGAUGGGCCAGCACUUGUUGAGCAUUUCAACGCCCAAGACAUGCAGUGUGCUUUUUACGCAGAACCUUGUUUCAUCUCACAGUAACCUGUGACUUAAAGAUUAUCAUCCCCUUUUCUUUUUUUUUUUUUUUUUUUUUUUGGAGACAAGCUCUCACCCUUGUCAUCCAGGCAGGAGUACAAUGGCAGUAAUAGCUCCCUGCAGCCUCAAGCUCCUGGGCUCAAGCAAUCCUCCCACCUCAGCCUCCCGAGCAGCUGGGAUUGCAGGCACGAGCUACCACACUCAGCUAAUUUUCAUAUAUUUUUUUGGAGAUGGGGUCUUGCUGUGUUGCUCAGGAUGGUCUCAAACUCCUGGGCUCAAGCAAUCUGUCUAGCUUGGCCUCCCACAGUGCUGGGAUUAUAGACAUGAGCCACCCCGCCCAGCCUAUCAUCCCCAUUUUUAAGACAGGGAAAGAAACUGAGAGGAGAGGUCACUUGCCAAGGCCUCUCAGCCACGAAGUGGCAGAACUGGGAGGCAAACUAGUCUGACUCAAGCCCUUACUCAUAGUCAUUAUAUCAUUAUAUUAAACAUUCCUCACAGGGGUCUACAGAAAGCAUGUGUGAUGGCUUACCAAUACAUACUAAAUAGUUCUCUCCGGCAUGUAUAGAUUUUACAUUCAUGACAGCGUAAAUCAAAUUAAAAACGCUUCCUUGGCCCUCCACAGCCUUCCAGAUAAAAUCCAGGCUCCCUAAGGGCCUCCCUGAGUACAUGGACUGCAGUUGUUGAUGGAUUUUCUGCAUGUCUGGAAGACAGAAAAAGCGUCUUGGAUCAUGGUGUGGGGUGUGAGAUUGACAGGAUCUCCGAGAGGACAGUCGCUUCCAGAGCACUUCAGAAGCCAGUGAUUUCUCAGUCCUCCACUCUUCUCCCCUUCCCUAUCUGUGGUCUCCAGUGUGAUCACCUAGAAAAAGAGCUUUGGAACCAUAUAGACCAAGCUCAAAUCCAGUUCUCUACCACUUCGCAGGUGUGGAGCCUCAAGCAAGGUACCCAGGCUCCUACAAUCCCUAAACCAGGGAUGAUGACUCCCGCAGAGUGUAUGUGAAGCUCCAGACACAUGGACCAUCUCCACCUGGCAGGAGUCAUUAUUUCUCACAAAUGACUCUCUCCAUUGCUCUGAGACACCAAAACCAGUUGAAACCAGAAUGACAGCCCUGCCCACAUUUUUUUUUAAUGUGAAAGAUGAAAGGUCCUCAUUUCUUGUUCUGAUAGCUUCCUGCCACACACUGAAGUCUCCUCAAGGACACGUCUUUUACUGCAUGCAGCUUCACAGUCAGCUCCUCAAGCAGAAGACUGAACCGUGACUUGUUUUUAGAAGCUCUCCGGGUAGGGAGGACAUAUCCAUAUGCAGGACAGAACCUUGCUUUUCAAAUUCAAGAAAAAACAGUAACUAAUCUAUCGAUUCUUCUGUGAUUCAGUCUGCCAGGGUGUUCUGUAAAGAAUCCUUUUCCAUCCCUAUCACACAUUUGUACGAAAGGGGAGGGAGAGGUGGCAGGGUCCCAGUACACCGGCAGGCACUUCGGCGAUGCCCGGGGCUCCGCUCCCUUUCUGUUGAUAGUUGUAGGCGUCAUUUCUGGCAGCUGCUGCAGCUCGAUGCAGGGAAGGAAGGGGCCACCCACCAAUCACCUCUUUCUGAUGCCACAUUUUUGACGUUCAUGGAAGAGGCCUGUCUCAGAGCUCCCUAAGCUGACAAUCUUUGGGCAGCCAUCUCUAUUCUUCUCCUGGCUGGUGCACUCCUUACAAUAAUAGGCAUCAGAGACUCCCAUGGCCUCCACAGAUCUCACAGUGUCCCUGGUAAAAGCCAUAGUUACACUCAUCAUAUAAGCAUACCAGGGUGAAGGGACAGACACAGCGGUCACAAAUCACACACUUGCCGUCAGUUUUCACACAAUCUUCCGAUGGCAACAUCAGCCUGCUUGCAGCAAAAGAUCAAACCCAGAUAAUGUUCAGCCGUAGCUCCUGCUCACGCUGCAUUGCCCUCUUUUUAAAGCCAAGAAGCCCAUCUGGAGGCAUCAAAUCAUGCUUUAUGCAUAAGUAGGAGCUACAACGCAUUGGCCACAUGCACCUCCCUUGGGGGGACUCAAAUUUACUGAAUCCUGCCUUUGUGCCCAACACUGCAUUUGGAACCUUAUAUAAACAUCUCCACUAUUCCCCAAGAGGGUUCAUCCUUUCCCCUUGUUUCUUCAUUAUCUAUGUCUAACUUCCAUCCUUCCUGCUUUAGUUGGACUUGCUGUUCAUUUGAGAGGAAGCUGCUGACCACAGAGUUCAGCAAAAGAAUGGGAGUAUGGAGGCUCAAAGUGUGGCCCCUGGAGAAGCUGAAUGAGAAGUAGCCCUGGAUAUGGUGUAGACUCCCACAAACCAGAGAUCCUGCCCUCAGUGCCUCAGCUUUAGGAAGCUGCUCCCUGCCUUGCUCCUGGGCAGACAGAAGCCAGAGAGACCACAGGUCGAAGCAGGACCACGCAAGGACGCGCACGCCUCUUUCCCACGCCGCAGAGCGAUAGAACCCGCAACAGGAAAACGGAAAGGCCGUGCGCCGGAAGAACAGGCCUCCAGACCUGUGAUGGGAGGGCUGCCAUGAAGACCUCUGACAUGCCCUGGAGACAUUUUCCCCAUUGUCUUGCAGAUUAACAUUUGGCUCUUCAUUAUGUAAAUUUCUGAAGCGGGCUUCAACUUCUCCUCAGAAAAUGGGAUUUUCUUUUCUAACGCAUUGUCAGGCUGCAAAUUUUCCAAACUUUUGUGCACUGCUUCCCUUAUAAAAUUGAAUGACUUUAACAAUGCCCAAGUCACCUCUUGAAUGCUUUGCUGCUUAGAAAUUUCUUCCACCAGACACUCUAAAUCAUCUCUCUCCAUUUCAGAGUUCCACAAAUCUCUAGGACAGGGGCAAAAUGCUGCCAGUCUCUUUGCUAAAACAUAAGAGUCACCUUUGCUCCAGUUCCCAACAAGUUCCUCAUCUCCAUCUGAGACCACCUCAGCCUGGAUUUCAUUGUCCAUAUCAUUAUCAGCAUUUUGGUCAAAGCCAUUCAACAAGUCUCUAGGAGGUUCCAAACUUUCCCACAUUUUCCUAUCUUCUUCCAAGCCCUCCAAACUGUUCCAAUCUCUGUAUGUUACCCAGUUCCAAAGUCACUUCCACAUUUUCAGGUAUCUUUUCAGCAAUGCCCCCACUCUACUGGUACCAAUUUAAUGUAUUAGUUCAUUUUCACACUGCUGAUAAAGACAUAGCUGAGACUGGGCAAUUUACAAAAGAAAGAGGUUUAGUGGACUUACAGUCCCACAUGGCUGGGGAGGCCUCACAAUCAUGGCUAAAGGCAAGGAGGAACAAGUCACAUCUUACAUGAAUGGCAGCAGGCAAAGAGAGAGCUUGUGCAGGGAAACUCCCCUUAUAAUAUCAUCAGAUCUCAUGAGACUUUUUUCACUAUCAUGAGAACAGCAUGGAAAGACCUGCCCCCAUAAUUCUAUUACCUCCCACCAGGUCUUUUCCACAGCACAUGGGAAUUCAAGAUGAGAUUUGGGUAAGGACACAGCCAAACCAUAUCACAGGUAAUUACAUAGUCAGAAACACAAUUGGACAACCAACAUAUGACAGCAUUUUCAACAUUACUAGUAUUCAAAAAAAUACUAAAUAAAGUAGCAGUAAGAUGUUUAUUUUCACAAAGCAUAUUAUCAGAUAGUUAAAGAGUAAUAGGGUUAUUGAAGGUAUUUCUGAGAUCAAGUCUUUUUGUUGAGUUUAAUGUUGAUGUGCAUGUAAAUUGGUACAGCAUUUGUGGUAGGCAAUUUGGCCCCCUUAUCAACAUUAAAAUGCUUGUGAUCACUUUGAGGUAGUAGGGAGCUGGGGAAGAGUGGGAGGGGCUAGGGGAGUGGACACAAUGGGAGGUACUAAAGGACUGGAAUGUAAAGGGGGGGAUGUGUGGGGCCAGGAGGGAUUUGGAAGAACCAGGAUUGAUUGGAGGAGGGGGAGAGGAGAUAAAAGGCACUUAGAGGGACUGGUGGAAAAAAAACAAGAGAGAUUGGAAACAACUGAAGAAACUUAGAGGGACAGGAAGAGAAGGGGUGGGACUGGCAGGGACUACACAUGUAAAAUGGAAACAACUGGCAUUCAGCAAAUUGACCUACAGCCACUGGCAAAUGGGACCUGUUCACAUUGACCAGGGUCCUUCAGGAGAAUGAGAUUUGUUAGCAAACAGGAAACAGUGAUUUUCAGAGUGGUACUAACUGUGCUUUGCAGAGUUCUUUUACUUCCUGUUAUCUUGACUCUAUUAUUACCUUGUAUUUUGCUUCUACAAAGCAGCCUGAGCUCUUUGAAGACUCCUUAGUCUAAAGCCUCUGAUGGCCAAUGGUCUGCAUCUUUCCCAUGUGCUCCUGAGGUACAAAAUGGACAUUUCAGCUGCUUUUAAUAGAAACUCACUGUGUCACUCAUAAAACUCAGGAAGCUGUCCCAAAUCCUGGGAGGACAUGAAAAGAGGCUCACUCUGUAGUCAAGCACAGGUAUGCCUAAGGUGUGCAGGUCCCAAGACUCUCCCACUUCUCUCUUAGUUUGGAGUGGGCAUUCUUUUAAGAAGUGGAGGACCCUGUGGUCACUGGCUUCCUUAGUGGUGAAUCAUAGGGCAAUCAGAGAGCAGGAAUCUGCAAAGGGGCGCUGUCAUGUGCUGAAUUGUAUCUCCUCAACAUUUAUAGAUUGAAGCCCUAGCCUCCAGUAUCUCAGGAUGUGACAGUAUUUGGAGGUGGGGCUUUUAAAGAGGUGGUUAAGUUAAAAUGAAGCCAUUAGAGUGGUCCUUAAUCCAAUAUGACUGGUCUCCUUAUAAGAAGAAACUUGUACACAGAAGAGAUACACAAGGGACAUGGAGGCACAGAGAAAAGCCCAUGUGAAGAGGCAGCAAAAGAGUGGCCAUGUGCAAUCCAAGAAGAGAGGCCUCAGAGGAAGCCAGCCCUGCCAACACUUUGAUCUUGAACUUUCGGGUUCCAGACUGUGAGAAAAUAAAUUUUUAUUGUUUAAGCCA